GUGUACAAUUAACCAUCAGAACAAUAAUAUGUUAAAUAUAAAUGACUGCUACUAAUAUAAGGCAUAGAAAAUAGGGUGUAUAAAAUUUUCCAUUUACCCUAAAAAUUUACUUCGCUUGCGAACAUCGUUGGCUCAGGGACCUUAAAGUAUUGGUUUCCGAAAUGCCUGCCCUGUAUCCGCUUUUGACAGUUACUUGACUUCAGUUACUAACUAAUCCUCUUUGUUUUAGUGACUUGGAUGCGCAAGAACGACCACACAAUAGCGAUUAUCAACAACUAUACUUUCUUUUGCGGUUUGCGCAAAACGACAGAACAUGUGAUAUGGCAAUGCUCUCAUGAUAAAUGCCAGGCAAAUUUCGCCACUAGAGACAGGGUUAUGGUCAGCAUGAAUAUUUUGCACAAUCAUUCGUUACCCAGCAACGGAGAAGUGAAGUUACGACGUCGUCGUGUCACUACGGACCAGUUGGAGGCCAUGUUCCCAAUUUUAAAUUCGAACAAGGAAUUUGCCCUUGGUUAUAACAAAUCUGCAGAAGCGCGUGUGCUUUCAAAGCGGAUGUGGAGAUCCGUUGCAGAGGCGCUUAACUUUCAAAAAGAAGGUUCUGUUAAGGACUGGAGGGGAUGGUCGAACCUACUGGGUUGAUUACAAGGCGAAAUUAAAGAAGAGAGCUGCAGCUCUACGUACAUCCUGUAGCCGAAAAAGGAGAGGGCUGUCAGAGGACGUCCCACUUAACGAAUUGGAGAAGAAAUUUUUGGGACUUAUAGGCGAUGGAGUCGAACGCGGUUUGCCGCGUAAACAAGGCCGUCGAGCGUGAAUUGGGCGCGAAAAACAAACGGCAAGACGAUAGCUAUCUUUAAAAACUACACUUUUUAUUGCGAUUCGCGGUGCAAGACGACUGAUAUGUGGCUAUGUUCGUCCUAUAGCAAGUGUAAAGCGAAGUUCGUCACGACCAAAGACCGAGUGAUAUUGCGCAUGAAUGCUGUACAUAAUCAUAGGCCCCCUAAAUACACUUUGGACCGGGGAAUGUAUUUUAAACUUUAAUGGAUUUUUAUUAUAUUGUGUAUUAUAUAGUUUAUACCUGUUAGUAUAGAGUUUAAUAUACAGGGUGUUGCGGAAAGGUGGUAGUAACAACAAAUGAACAUUUAUUAAAACGGAAUUAGAGCUGGUAUAAUUAUAUCAAUAAGAAAUUCAAAGUUCUGUUUCGUUUGUUAUCUUACCAGUAAGCUUUGCCUUUUUAAAUGCUGUUAAUGUAUUCCAACUUAUUGUAACAUCCUUUAUAACUAUGUAUAAGUCAUAACAAUAUCUGAUAGAGUUAUGCGUUCAACAAUUAAGGUUAUUACGUUUCUGAAUACUCACUUCAUGUGCUUUCCUUGUUCUUUAUUGGUCAACAGUUAAGGUAUUUAUAAAUCAAUCACAAAUAUAUAUUUUCAGACUAUGUUGCGCAGGCGGCGAAGAUUAGCCUAGCGCAGAACAGCCUUUGUUAUUUGUAAUGUAUGCCGAUGUAAUAAGAUUCAAAAUUGUACAGGCAUGUCUAUGGUAAUCUGUGCUAUGUCUAAUUCAUAUUAGGGAUCAGUAUUCAAUUUGGUGUGUGCUGCGCUGCGCUUCGUCACCUGCGCAUCAGUAGGCGGUCACAGUAAUACAUGUACUUUAAAUUUAUUGAUGGAAUAAAUAGUAUUUGGAAAAUAUAUUGAUUGUUUCUAAAUAAGGUUGUUUUUUGGUUAAAAUUGUAAUAUUGUAGUGUUGUUUUUUUAAUAUGUAACUAAAUGGCGAUAUGAGCAUAUCGCUCGUCUAAUAAUACGCGCUGUUCACGCACUGUUACAGCGUCCAAUAAAACUUUGUAAGCAAUUUAACAGUAAGGUCAAUUGGGUCGUUUUGAGUCGUUCAGGUCAGAGAUUCGUCGGUAAGGUGUCAUAUUUAGGGUAGUUGAAACAGCAAUCGGAAGUAUGACCUCGCUCGCGGCUUUGGCGAGCCUUUGUCUCGAAGAGGUAACAAUGGAUCAGCUGGUCUGUAACUUCAGCCGAAGUAGACACACUGCAAUUUAAAAAAAUAAAUAGCUAUAGGUCUUUUACUCGAAUUUCAUGUUUUAAUAAUACUCCUUUACAGUUCAAUGGGUGUAUAAUAAGAAAGGCAAGGAAUUGGCAUUAGUGGACGGCUUCGCGUUCUACCGUGCUGCAAGCUCCAUGACUACAGACGUUUGGAGGUGUCUCCGGCGCAUGUGCAAGGCUCGUUUUACCACCAGUAAAAACAAAAUCUUCAUCCGCGGUCAAUGGCAGCAUGCUCAUCUUCCAGUGCCCUAUCAUAUAUUUAACGGCGUGUAUAUGCGAUUAUAGGCUUUAAAUUCAUUAGAUACUGUGAUGGUUAACAUAUACCCCUGAAAAUGUACUGUGGGCAUUCAAUCAGAAAGGCAAGGAGUUGGCUAUCGUCAAUGAAUACCCGUUCUACUUAGGGAAGAGAACCUUAACUACUGAUGUAUGGAGAUGCAUGCGGAGACGGUGCAAGGCUCGCUUCACCACUACCAAGGAUAAGGAAGUUAUACGUCAUUGUUUGCAACAUGCGCACGCGGCGAGGCCGUUUUGUAUUAGUAACGGAGUGUACGUGAGAUUAUAAGUUUAAAGAUGAGAUCUUCGGAAUCUGUUGCUGAUAAACACAAUAAGUGUUAGAAAUAGAUUUUAGCAUAAAUUUACUUAUACUUAACCUAUGAAUGAAUUGAUCUCGUUAGAAGAUUUUCUCAUAAUCAAUGUGAUGAAUACAAACUUUGUGAUGGACCAUUCUAGUCAUCGAUUGUAUAUUAUGAUAAUAUAGGACUAUCCUAUAUAGGUAUACGUUAAGAUAUUUAAAUUAAGUCGUUUAUUUAUUUAAAACAUUUGCGAGAUAUGUAAGUUUAGUUAUUUAUGUUUAUAUCAAAUAUCAAAGUUUGUUUUUUAUUUCUUAAUUAUGAGGUAUUUAACUACCUUCGUACUGAAGACAAAUACAUUUGUCAUGAUCUCUUUUAGUAUUAUACCAAAGAUAAUUUGUAGUUUACGAAUUUUUUGUCAAAAUAGCAAUUUUUGGGCACUUAAUCACGGAAAAAGAAUGUAGAGGACAGUGUUUUGGAAACAAAAAGUCCAACGUACGCAAAGAAAAUCGCUCUUGAUAGAACUUAAAAUAAGGGAGUAAAACUGAAACAUUUACAAAUACCGCUCAGUUGGGUUUAUGGAAUCGUAUUUGAUUUCUAUUAUAUCAUUAACCGCCUUUACAAAAGACGAUCCUAAUCGCUUUUUUCAAUGGACCAAUCAGAACCAAGUUUUUUUUGACAUGAGUUAUUUUGAUUGGUUCAUUCUCGGAAUCAGGUUGAAGAUUGAGAUUGAUCCUUGCUUUUUUCGAUCUAUCUCAAAAUAGACCAAUCAGAACCAAGUUUUUUGACAUGAGUUAUUUCAGUUGGUUCAUUCUCGGAAUUGGGUUGAAGAAUGAAAUUGAUACUUGCUUUUUUCGAUCUAUCUCAAAAUAGACCAAUCAGCACCAAGUUUUUUGACAUGAGUUAUUUCAAUUGGUUCAUUCUCGGAAUCGGGUUGAAGAUUGAAAUUGAUACUUGCUUUUUUCGAUCUAUCUCAAAAUGGACAUAUCAGAACCAAGUUUUUUUGACAUGCUUAAAAAUGAGUUGUUUUGAUUGCUUCAUUCUCGGAAUUGGAUUGAAGAUUGAUCCUUUAUUGUCGGCUGAUAAUCACGCAAAACCAUUAGCAAAUUGUAUUAGGUGAAUAUAGUAAAUGUGCCAUAAAUUAUACUUAAAAAAAGGAUCUCAAGUAAUUGUUCUAACUUAUUAUCGUCAUGAAUGUUAUUGAAUAUACAGUAAUGACGUAAUAAUUGUAGCUACAAUUGUGUAUAUAUGUAUAUGUUAAACCAUUCCAGUAGAAAAAUAUUAUGUACAUCAGAUUAUGUUAUGCACGUAAGUUGAAACAACUAUGUAUUUUAUUCUUCUGAUCUACUUUUUGUGAAGUGUGCUCGUGGGAUUACGAUUAACACACUUAUCAUAGCUAAAAUAUUUAUCCAUGUCGAUUUAUUUAUAAUGUCACAUAUAAAAUAAACCUACCUGAAAUAAAAAUAUACCUUACAUAUUGUUGUUUCCUAAUAUGUUGCAGGUUUGGCUUUAAAAUCUAAUGCAUUUACUGUAAUUAUUCUAGUUAUUGAUUAUGUAAUAACUGAAUUAUUAUAAGUGUUCACUAUAGUAAAUUUCUUAGAAAAAACCUUGCAGUGGAUUAAUACGCACACAUCACGCCUUCAUCCGUGAAGGAGUAAGCAGAGGUGCAACAAGAUCACCCACUUUACGCCAAAUGUGUUCCGUCUCACGAUUUAUUUCUCAUGAAAUUCUAAAACCUGGGACAGUGAGCAGAAAAAUCCGAUUUCACUUUGCCCGACCCAGGAUUCGAACCCAGGACCUCAGAGUAUUUUCGUACUGGCCACGCAUUACACAUUUCUUUCAUUUUUUUUCAUCUUUUUUGCUUUAUUUCAUUCGGGCACGGAAAAGAGUUUCCACUGCACCUGAUGGUAAGUGGACUGGGGUCCAAAAGGAUGUGGACUGGCGAAAGAUUAUCACCCCUCGGCAGUCGUAAUAAUUAUGUCGGCCUGUUGGAACCGGAUAUACACAGGUUGAUACCGGAACGCGACACACUUAUGUGGGCCACUACGGCACGUUUUAACACCCUAUACCAGGGUUUUCCAAUCUUUUGUGACCCGUGGCGCAGUUACAAGUUUAGUAUUUUUCACGGCGUCCUGUCCCAGCUAACUAUUUGAAGAAGACAGUCGAAAGAAAUAGGUACCUACAAUAAUAGUAGUUAGGUUAGGUUAGGUUAGAUCGAAACGAAAAUUAAAACACCACAAUAUAAAAUUGACGACAAUAUUUGUGGUGUCCAAUUAUUAGAGGAUCGAUUCACGGCGCCUUUCUUUACCUUCUACGGCGCACACUUAGGGAACCCCUGCCCUAUAGGUUAUGAUUUGGUACACACACAUACUACCACUCUCCUCCUUCCGCGCUCCGUACACCGCACUGUAUACUCCAAACACCACCAAUAAAAUACUUCAUAAUUUAAAAUGAUCUCUUCAGAAACCGUACCAAAAACAAAUCAACAUCAUUUAGUAAGGGGUGUAAAGAAGAAAAAAUGUGUCGGAUGCUACGCAAAACUCCGGAUCUAUUUGACAAGUCGCCAAGCUGACAGAAAAGUAAAAAAAAAUUAUAACUGAAUGUGCGGAAUGUAAAAGAAACUUCUGUUUGGACUGCUUCGAUGAAAAACAUUAAUGAAUGUAGUUUUUUCUCUUCUUAUGCGAUAAAACUUAAUUAAACUAUCGAUUUUUAUAUUUCCCAUCCCUAAAAUAUAAUAAUAAAUAAUAAUAAUAUCAACCCUGUAUUAUAUACUUGCCGACUGCUGAGCACGGGCCUCCUCUACUACUGAGAGUAGAGGAGGCCUGUCGGCCCGGAGGUCUUCCCUAAAAUAUGCAUAAAAAGAAUUGCAUAAAUAGAUAAAAAAAAAUAUGGUGGUCAAUAUUGUUAUAUCUUUAGGAAACUCAUGCUAUAUUAAGAUCCAAAUUAUUAUAAAAAAAAUACAUAUAAUAUUAUGUUAUAUUCAUACUAAUAAAUAUUUGAAUCUAAAGGAUUUAGUACUGACUUUAAAAAUGAGAGUAUGAACGAAAUACGAACUAAAAUACUUCUUUAAUGGUACUACGUAAUGUGAUGUUCAAGAUUGAAACAAUAAAUAGAAUAAGACUUAGCUGAACGUUAAUGUAAGGCUCAGUUUAUUAUCAUUAUAAUAACAAGAGGCUACAACACUGUUAUUGAGUGCGCCCAGUAAUUACGCUGCAACGUCCUCUAAAGCGGUAUACAAUAGCGCUCUUAUACUGCUACUUAGCAGUUGUAUCAAUCAUGUAUUGUGUGUAUACACUACUAAAUAGAUAUUAAAACUGAUACUUUCAUUCAAUACAUCUAACAAUUUUUUAUAUAAUUGUAACCAAAGAAAAAUCACAAUAUUAUUUACGAAACAGUUACUUAAGUAACUAUUUGUAUGAAUACAGUCAAUAAAAAAUUUUACAUUAGAAGAAUCUUGAAUAAAUUCUCAGAUAUCAUUAAACACGUCUAUACGUCUCACGUUCACCUAUUGUUUAAAGAUUCUUGAUCGUUGCAUUGACUGUGGACGUCAGCCGGCGUCCCCCGCAGACCAUCUCACGCCACCGAGCCAGUCACACGCCGCGUCUCCGUGACAUGACGGCCAUUUACGUCAACUAUGUUGUUAAUGAACGUUGUUCACUGUGACCUUGCAGCUGUUUCUGCUUGGUUGAAGCCUGUGGGUAUGUUAGAUUGUAUGUAGUUACUACAAUUUUUAUUUAUGUUGCAUUUCUUAAGUUGCCUCAAUGUUAAUACUAGAUCUUUUUGCUUCAGCAUCUACGUAUUCUAUUCAGUAGUGCUAUGAUUUUUUUAUUUUCUGGAACUGUGGACUCUAAUUGAAAAAUAACUUCGCUUUGCUGUCGAAAGUAUAGCAUUGUUUUUGCUUCGUCUGUUAUCAAGCAUAAAAUAAAUUGUCCAGGUAGGUAUGGUUCUUAAGACCAGGAACGCUAGAAUUAUAAUGGGCAAAAUUCUGACUCAACAGAAGAAAUGAAGAACUUGUCCACCAAUUCUUUCUUAUUGUUAUUCGAUUGCAUCUUCCAAGACAUACCUAGUAAGGAGAAGUGCUGCGUGUGAAGGAAUUUCAGGGGUAUUUAAAGUACAAUUAUAUGAUGAAAAGAAUAUUAUAAAUUCAUGCGUGUUUCUCUUCCACAAGAGCAUCCAGAUUUUGAGUUCAGAAAUUCUUUAGAUUAAUUUGGAGAACACUCAGUUCAUUGGGUGUACAACAAGAAAGGCAAGGAAUUGGCGAUAGUACACGACUGUGUAUUCUACCGCGAUGGAUUCAGAGAGUCUUCGGUUUAUUGGAGAUGCGUGCAGCGGUCGUGCAAAGCCCGCUUCACAACCACCCAGGAGAAGAUGGUCGUCCGAUCGUUCUGGCUCCACACCCAUCCGCCGUUCAAGUAUUGUGUUAAUAACGGCAUAUAUCAAAGGAUUGGGUAGAAAUGUAAAUCGAAAGCAAUAAGAAAUAAUUCAUUGAUUCAGUAGUUUUGGAAACUAAUUCUGAUAUAGUGCUAUUCAUAUUGAUUAUUUAAUCUGAGACAGUCGUAAAUGUAUACCAAUUUGAUAAUUUAUCGCUUGAAUAUUAAUGAAAAUAGGACAUGGAUUAGGCAAGAUAACUUAGUUUUUUUGUUGUAUUAAAAGAUAUUCGUUCCUUCAAAAAAUUGAAAUUAUAAACUUUGACGCUCACUAAAAGUUGUAUAUAUUUUUGUGUUUUUAUAUGUUUUACUAUUGCAUAAUGAUUUCUUAUUUGAAAGUUUUACUAUUGUAUCUAAAAACUUUGACUAGUUUAAUUUAUUUAACAUCUCAG